CUUGUGCAGUUAAAGGGAAUAUAAAUGUCCAAAAUGCCUAUUUAAAUUUAGCUGUUACUAUAAAGUAAAAACAUAAAACUUUGAACUGAAUACUAAAAAUGUUUUCAUUAACAAAAUUUAAUGUUUAUCUCGAGUUUUAGUUUGGUAUGAUUCAUACAAUAAAACAAAAGACUAACUCAAUUAAGGAAUCAUCAAUAUUACAGUACGCUAAUAUUCAAAAUGCUUAAACCGAACAUACAAUGAUUGUUUCCAGAUAAAAGUCGAUCAUUCUUUUUGGGUUACAUCAUAGUUUAGAAUUACUUUUCAGCGUAUGCGAUUUAUGUGCGAGUUACAUUUAUUUUCGUACUCUUACCAGUUUUACGUAAACAUUCGGGAACAUCAACAUUCUCAUUUCCACAAAUUGAUUCGUUCUACGUUAAAAUCCUAUAUUCACUAUGUAUUAUAUAAUUUCCAGUUUAUCAGUAGAAAUCAUGAACAUGAACAUGAUAAGCACAUGACGCCCACAGACCGCUUACCCGUCAAAAAGCAGAGUCAAACAGGGAAGUACUUUUGAAGGAUAAAUUAUUAUCUUGCAUGUCGCAUGCUGAAAAAAUUACGAUUAAUUCGUGGCUUGAAAUUAAUUAACAUGAUAUUUUUAUAAUUUUUCCCCACUUAUUCGCAAUAACUUAACAGAAAACUGAGUAGGUAAAUGUAACGCGAAUCCGCCGAGCGAUCAUAAAAAACCAUCUUUGGAGAUUAACAUGAAUAUCAAUUUAUCAAGCUUUCCUAGAAUAUAUAAAGCAUAAAGAGAUAUUUAAUAUAAUUAAUUAACUAGCAGAUAACGCACAUCGUGAUAUCUUUAAACAAAAAUUUAAUGAAUAGAUUUUUCGAUUAUAAUAUUCAACAGUAACAAAUAUGUUUCCUUGGCUGUUCUGCAAAUUGAAAUACGAUCUUCUACUCUAAAUUAACACACUUUGAUAAAACGAGAUCAAUGUCACUUUAUUUAAUAAACAAAAAUUUGUCGCAACAACAGUCGACUUCUAACGCACGUGGACAACUGACAAUGCAUCACCAAUUUGUCAUACGUUGUAUGAAAUCCAAACAUAUAAUAUUCGAGUUAACGCCCUGUAUUUCAUAUAUAUCAAAUAUUUUUAAAAUACAUCUCAUAUACUAAAAAUACGUAAUUAAUUCAUGUAUUUUUCAGCUAGAAAAUUUAUCAAAUUACCGUCGAAAUUCCUAAUAUUUUUGCGACUACAAAACUUGAACGAGUACUCGAUUUUUUAAUUAAUGAAUUAAUUUUUUUUUUAUUCGCUUAUGCAGCCCGAAGAAGUGAUUAUGAUUCGAAACCUUUCGCCAGUCGAAGAUUUCGUAAUUUUUUUUUAUUAACAAUAUAAGUUUUAAUUAAGAACGAUAAUCGUUAUUAAUCGAGAACAACUCGAUUAUUAUUGACGUACGUCGAACGAAACUCGAGUUAUCACAAAGCAAUUGUUAAGAGAGACAAGUAAAUUGAUAUCGUUUUAUCAAUAACUGAAACACCGACACAAUUCUGACAAUGACAUCAUUACACGUCAGAAAUUUAGACGGAAUUAUUUUUAAUAAACGGAUAUUGGAUUAAGAAACAAAGUCGGAUAUUACUGCAAU
rnacentral:lncRNA from 1 species